UACGAAGGGGGCUAGCGUUGUUCGGAAUUACUGGGCGUAAAGGGCUCGUAGGCGGCCAACUAAGUCAGACGUGAAAUCCCUCGGCUUAACCGGGGAACUGCAUCUGAUACUGGAUGGCUUGAGUUCGGGAGAGGGAUGCGGAAUUCCAGGUGUAGCGGUGAAAUGCGUAGAGAUCGGGAGGAACACCAGUGGCGAAGGCGGCCUUCUGGACCAAUACUGACGCUCAUGCACGAAAGCGUGGGGAGCAAACAGG
rnacentral:rRNA from 1 species